AUACUUACCUGGCAGGGGAGAUACCAUGAUCACGAAGGUGAUUUUCCCAGGGCGAGGCUUAUCCAUUGCACUCCGGAUGUGCUGACCCCUGCGAUUUCCCCAAAUGUGGGAAACUCGACUGCAUAAUUUGUGGUAGUGGGGGACUGCGUUCGCGUUAAU
rnacentral:snRNA from 1 species